AACGCUAGCUACAGGCUUAACACAUGCAAGUCGAGGGGCAGCAUUAGGUAGCAAUACUGAGAUGGCGACCGGCGCACGGGUGCGUAACGCGUAUCCAACUUUCCCGUUACUCUGGGAUAGCCUUCCGAAAGGGAGAUUAAUACCGGAUGGUGUUGAAAAUUCGCAUGUUUUUUCAACUAAAGAUUUAUCGGUAACGGAUAGGGAUGCGUGACAUUAGGUAGAUGGCGGGGUAACGGCCCACCAUGCCUACGAUGUCUAGGGGUUCUGAGAGGAAGGUCCCCCACACUGGAACUGAGACACGGUCCAGACUCCUACGGGAGGCAGCAGUGAGGAAUAUUGGUCAAUGGUCGGAAGACUGAACCAGCCAAGUAGCGUGAAGGAUGAAGGUUCUAUGGAUUGUAAACUUCUUUUAUAUAGGAAUAAAGUUAGCCACGUGUGGUUAUUUGUAGGUACUGUAUGAAUAAGGACCGGCUAAUUCCGUGCCAGCAGCCGCGGUAAUACGGAAGGUCCAGGCGUUAUCCGGAUUUAUUGGGUUUAAAGGGAGCGUAGGCCGUCUGUUAAGCGUGUUGUGAAAUGUAGAUGCUCAACAUCUGAAUUGCAGCGCGAACUGGCAGACUUGAGUGUGCGCAACGUAGGCGGAAUUCGUGGUGUAGCGGUGAAAUGCUUAGAUAUCACGAAGAACUCCGAUUG
rnacentral:rRNA from 1 species